GGGGUUGUGGCUCAGCAGUAGAGCACUCGCCUAGAACGUGAGAGGCCCUGGGUUCGAUCCUCAGCACCA
rfam:Ictidomys tridecemlineatus contig007892, whole genome shotgun sequence.